CAGAGUUGCAGGACUCCCUAAACCAUUGUGAACCUACCUUCUACCGUUGCUUCGGCGGGCGGGCCCAGCGCCCCCCCGGCCCCCCGCGGGCGCCCGCCGGAGGAUACCCAAACUCUUGACAUUAGUGGCCUCUCUGAGUAUUCUUUACUGAAUAAGUCA
rnacentral:misc_RNA from 1 species